ACAACGCUUACAAAAUCAAGAUGGCAUUAUCCAACCCAGAAGUUUCAGAUUCUGUCCUGGAGGAACCAAUCAUUGGCCAGGACUAUUUGAUGUGUGGUACUGAUGGCUGUGAGAAGAACUGCCAGUUUUAUUGUAAUCACUGUCACCUACGAGUAUGUAAACAAUGCAAAGAUGAACAUCAAAAAAGUCUGGAAACCCAGAACCAUGAAGUGGUCCCUUAUACACAACGCAAAAGACAACUUCCUGUAGAGAAAUGCAAGGAUCAUCCGACCAAGGAUAUAGACAUGCUCUGUGAGGACUGCCAAGUUCCAGUAUGUUCCAAAUGUGUAAUACAAGACCAUCAAAAACACACACUUAAUGAUUUAGAAACAAUUUAUUCGGAGAAAUUCACUCUUUGCCUUGAUGAAAUUUAUAAAAUCCAUCAGUAUUUUCUCCCAACUUCACAUGAUAUACAAGAAGAUAUCAAGGAUAAUUUCAAGGAAAUAAAAGCAACCAUAGAUAAAAUAAGAAUAUCCAUAAAGGCUAAAGCUGAAUCCCUUAAACGUUUGGUGGACACUGUGGCAUCAGAUGAAAUAGAACAAGUCAACAAAAUGGAAGAGUCUCUAAAGGAGAAGCUUAAGAGAGUCAAGACAAAACCUAUCAAGAUUACAUCUCCUAUCUUGAGGACCUUGUCAGAGAGUUCCAUGGCUACCUGUCCUCUACCAAAGUCCAAAGCAAUCCACUCAUUCUUUCUCAACCUGACCAGCUGAAAAUCAAACCCAUACCAAAUACCAUUAUACCAGUCCCUCCAAUAUUUACUGUUUGUCAAUACAGCAAGGAAGAUGUCAUCAAACUACUGGGUAGAGUAACUUUUCCUGACACUGAACCAGAGAUCAGAGAAAUAAAACCCAUGGAGACUGUCUCGACACAGUUAAAACCUACAGAACAACAGAGGAAACAAGACAGAGAGAAAUCUGCCAUGAAACUGUCUCCAUCUUCCUCUGUCACCAAGGUCAUGGAGUACACUGUACCAUGUGUUAAUAAUGUAUGUCAUAUAUCACUAGGUAAAUCAGGAAGACUCUGGGCAAGUAAUGAUGGUGGUAAGCUUGUCGAAACAGAUCUACAGGAAAAUCAGCCACAGAUAAUCCAAACCAGUAAUGAAUAUGGCUACCACACAGCUACAGAGGACGGGGAUCUUAUCUUUACAGACAGAAAGAAUAAGCUCAUUAAAAAGACAAAACAGGAUAAUACAAUAACUAAAUUUAUCAAAACAUGAGACUGGGAACCAAUCAGCAUACACUCUUCUUACAUCAACGGGGACAUACUGGUCGGGAUGAUAAAGGGUGGAAGGGCUAGAGUCACCAGGUACAACAAGGCAGGAGAAGAAAUACAGAACAUACAGUGGUACAACAAUGGACAGGAGCUGUAUAGUGAUCCACGCUACAUCACAGAAAACAUCAACGGUGAUAUAUGUACAUCAGAUAAUAAAAAACGUGCUGUAGUGGUGGUAAAUAAAUCAGGACAACACAGGUUUUCCUACACAGGUCAGCGGCCAGGGUUUUAUCCCUAUGGUAUAUGUACUGAUCUCCUUGGUCACAUUCUAGUGUGCAGCAAUCCUUCCUUUAGCAUCAUCUUCAUGUCAGGCGAUAACACAGUUACGCUCCUGGAUCAACACGGACAGUUCUUGUUUCUAAUACUCACAGAACGACAAGGGGUUGGGUUUUACCGUGGUCUGUGUGUGGAUGAUGAGAACAAUCUCCAUGUUGGACAAGAUAACACCAACACAGUGACAGUGUACAAGUACCUCCAGUGAUCAUUACUUUGUAAAAAUAAUUUAUGAGGAGCUACAUUACUAUGUCAAUUAAAUUCUGUGCAAGAUAAAAAUAAUUGUUUACAUUUGUCAUAUGAAAACCAUUCUGAGCAAUAGAUAUAUGGAUCCAGUGAAACAAAUACCAUUCCAAAUAUCUGAUGAUAAGAGUUAGCAGAAUAAUACAUACUAUCAUUAGCUUAUCCAUUUAUCAAAUAAAAUUUUAUGUUAAGAUUC
rnacentral:misc_RNA from 1 species